ACCUGACCUGCUGAGGAUUUCCAGUAGGCUGCUUAAAUUCAUAAAUGAGCCUUUCUCCACUCAGAAAAAAUUCUACGAUGCAACUCACAUUUUAAAAUGAGUAACUUUGUGAAGGGCAUUGCAAACCUCAGUGGUACCCAUCUUGCCUCUGACUCCAGGGACCUAAAUAAAAAAUCCUUCUGCCACUGCAUGCUGGUGCUGAGGGAAUAUUACACUGAUGAUGGUACCAAGCAUCAGAUGCACCCGACCUUCACUAGUCCAACUCCUUGUAAUCCGGUUCCUUCGAUAAUCUGGCACUGAUUAUGUUUAAUGUGAUCCUUCAGUAAUUCGGCAUCUUCACUAAUCCGGCACUCCUCAGGUCCCAACAGAAUAACAACCACAUGACCCUAUGUGCUGUGGGUCAUGUCUGGAUUCUUCCAAGCCUCGUCAAUCUCCAUAGGCAUGCUCAGGUAUGCCCACCUCAUUCAAGGCCUUUCCCUUUGGAAUGCAGUAUCACUGGGAAGAUCGAAGAACAGGAAGAACAAAGGGUAAUGUCAGAAGUACUUUCAGCAAGUGACAACAUCAGCCUCAGCAAUACAGCAAUCAAUUCUCCCGCAUGAAUGCGAGCAAGGAAUCUUAGUGCUUUAUUUGGGAUGCUCUAAUUGAAACACAUCACCUGUUUUUUUUAACCAUACUGUAACAACAGUGAGAGCAAAGUUGU